GACGAACGCUGGCGGCGUGCUUAACACAUGCAAGUCGAACGAUGAAACCUAGCUUGCUAGGUCGAUUAGCGGCGAACGGGUGAGUAACACGUGACUAACCUACCCCUUUCUCUGGGAUAACGCUCCGAAAGGAGUGCUAAUACCGGAUACUCACAUCGAGGCACAUGCCUUGAUGUGGAAAGUUUUUCGGGAAGGGAUGGAGUCGCGGCCUAUCAGCUUGUUGGUGAGGUAACGGCUCACCAAGGCGACGACGGGUAGCCGGCCUGAGAGGGCGACCGGCCAAACUGGGACUGAGACACGGCCCAGACUCCUACGGGAGGCAGCAGUGGGGAAUAUUGCACAAUGGGCGCAAGCCUGAUGCAGCGACGCCGCGUGAGGGAUGAAGGUCUUCGGAUUGUGAACCUCUUUCAGUAGGGACGAAGCGAAAGUGACGGUACCUAAAGAAGAAGCACCGGCUAACUACGUGCCAGCCGCCGCCGUAA
rnacentral:rRNA from 1 species